rnacentral:lncRNA from 1 species
GAUUUUGAAAGCCGUUGUUUUUCUGGUCCAGGAUCCAAUCCAGGAUCAAGCGCUGCCUUUAGUUGUCCUCUCUGCAGCCUCCUUUCGUUUGGAGCAGGUCCUCAGCCUUUCUGUCUUUCAUGACAUUGAUGUUUGUGAAGAGUACAGUCCAGUUUCUGUUGUAGAACGUCCUUGAAGUUGGUCCCGGAAUAUUUGUUUAAAGAUGGAAACCGGUGAAUUGUAAUCUCACAUAACCGAGCAAGAUCUAGUAGUCAUAAGCACUUUGUCAGAGCAAAGCAGACAAGGCAAAGUGUUGGAAAUGUCAUCGGAUCUUCACAGAACCUUAGCCAAGCAGCCUUUCAAUGCGAGAAACAAAAUAACAUGGAUUUUUAUCUAGUAAUGAAGUCAACACCAUUGUCCACCCUGGGUUAACACAUUCACAUCUCAAAGCGAAUGGGGCUGCAGACACUCGUGUUAGAGAGCCUUGGAAUGUCCUGCCUUUUUACGUUUAAUUAAAAUUAAAUAAAAUAUACAAAAUU